UUAAGCGACUAAGCGUACACGGUGGAUGCCCUGGCAGUCAGAGGCGAUGAAGGACGUGCUAAUCUGCGAUAAGCGUCGGUAAGGUGAUAUGAACCGUUAUAACCGGCGAUUUCCGAAUGGGGAAACCCAGUGUGUUUCGACACACUAUCAUUAACUGAAUCCAUAGGUUAAUGAGGCGAACCGGGGAACUGAAACAUCUAAGUACCCCGAGGAAAAGAAAUCAACCGAGAUUCCCCCAGUAGCGGCGAGCGAACGGGGAGCAGCCCAGAGCCUGAAUCAGUAUGUGUGUUAGUGGAAGCGUCUGGAAAGGCGCGCGAUACAGGGUGACAGCCCCGUACACAAAAAUGCACAUAUUGUGAGCUCGAUGAGUAGGGCGGGACACGUGGUAUCCUGUCUGAAUAUGGGGGGACCAUCCUCCAAGGCUAAAUACUCCUGACUGACCGAUAGUGAACCAGUACCGUGAGGGAAAGGCGAAAAGAACCCCGGCGAGGGGAGUGAAAAAGAACCUGAAACCGUGUACGUACAAGCAGUGGGAGCACGCUUAGGCGUGUGACUGCGUACCUUUUGUAUAAUGGGUCAGCGACUUAUAUUCUGUAGCAAGGUUAACCGAAUAGGGGAGCCGAAGGGAAACCGAGUCUUAACUGGGCGUUAAGUUGCAGGGUAUAGACCCGAAACCCGGUGAUCUAGCCAUGGGCAGGUUGAAGGUUGGGUAACACUAACUGGAGGACCGAACCGACUAAUGUUGAAAAAUUAGCGGAUGACUUGUGGCUGGGGGUGAAAGGCCAAUCAAACCGGGAGAUAGCUGGUUCUCCCCGAAAGCUAUUUAGGUAGCGCCUCGUGAAUUCAUCUCCGGGGGUAGAGCACUGUUUCGGCAAGGGGGUCAUCCCGACUUACCAACCCGAUGCAAACUGCGAAUACCGGAGAAUGUUAUCACGGGAGACACACGGCGGGUGCUAACGUCCGUCGUGAAGAGGGAAACAACCCAGACCGCCAGCUAAGGUCCCAAAGUCAUGGUUAAGUGGGAAACGAUGUGGGAAGGCCCAGACAGCCAGGAUGUUGGCUUAGAAGCAGCCAUCAUUUAAAGAAAGCGUAAUAGCUCACUGGUCGAGUCGGCCUGCGCGGAAGAUGUAACGGGGCUAAACCAUGCACCGAAGCUGCGGCAGCGACACUAUGUGUUGUUGGGUAGGGGAGCGUUCUGUAAGCCUGUGAAGGUGUGCUGUGAGGCAUGCUGGAGGUAUCAGAAGUGCGAAUGCUGACAUAAGUAACGAUAAAGCGGGUGAAAAGCCCGCUCGCCGGAAGACCAAGGGUUCCUGUCCAACGUUAAUCGGGGCAGGGUGAGUCGACCCCUAAGGCGAGGCCGAAAGGCGUAGUCGAUGGGAAACAGGUUAAUAUUCCUGUACUUGGUGUUACUGCGAAGGGGGGACGGAGAAGGCUAUGUUGGCCGGGCGACGGUUGUCCCGGUUUAAGCGUGUAGGCUGGUUUUCCAGGCAAAUCCGGAAAAUCAAGGCUGAGGCGUGAUGACGAGGCACUACGGUGCUGAAGCAACAAAUGCCCUGCUUCCAGGAAAAGCCUCUAAGCAUCAGGUAACAUCAAAUCGUACCCCAAACCGACACAGGUGGUCAGGUAGAGAAUACCAAGGCGCUUGAGAGAACUCGGGUGAAGGAACUAGGCAAAAUGGUGCCGUAACUUCGGGAGAAGGCACGCUGAUAUGUAGGUGAAGUCCCUCGCGGAUGGAGCUGAAAUCAGUCGAAGAUACCAGCUGGCUGCAACUGUUUAUUAAAAACACAGCACUGUGCAAACACGAAAGUGGACGUAUACGGUGUGACGCCUGCCCGGUGCCGGAAGGUUAAUUGAUGGGGUUAGCCGCAAGGCGAAGCUCUUGAUCGAAGCCCCGGUAAACGGCGGCCGUAACUAUAACGGUCCUAAGGUAGCGAAAUUCCUUGUCGGGUAAGUUCCGACCUGCACGAAUGGCGUAAUGAUGGCCAGGCUGUCUCCACCCGAGACUCAGUGAAAUUGAACUCGCUGUGAAGAUGCAGUGUACCCGCGGCAAGACGGAAAGACCCCGUGAACCUUUACUAUAGCUUGACACUGAACAUUGAGCCUUGAUGUGUAGGAUAGGUGGGAGGCUUUGAAGUGUGGACGCCAGUCUGCAUGGAGCCGACCUUGAAAUACCACCCUUUAAUGUUUGAUGUUCUAACGUUGACCCGUAAUCCGGGUUGCGGACAGUGUCUGGUGGGUAGUUUGACUGGGGCGGUCUCCUCCUAAAGAGUAACGGAGGAGCACGAAGGUUGGCUAAUCCUGGUCGGACAUCAGGAGGUUAGUGCAAUGGCAUAAGCCAGCUUGACUGCGAGCGUGACGGCGCGAGCAGGUGCGAAAGCAGGUCAUAGUGAUCCGGUGGUUCUGAAUGGAAGGGCCAUCGCUCAACGGAUAAAAGGUACUCCGGGGAUAACAGGCUGAUACCGCCCAAGAGUUCAUAUCGACGGCGGUGUUUGGCACCUCGAUGUCGGCUCAUCACAUCCUGGGGCUGAAGUAGGUCCCAAGGGUAUGGCUGUUCGCCAUUUAAAGUGGUACGCGAGCUGGGUUUAGAACGUCGUGAGACAGUUCGGUCCCUAUCUGCCGUGGGCGCUGGAGAACUGAGGGGGGCUGCUCCUAGUACGAGAGGACCGGAGUGGACGCAUCACUGGUGUUCGGGUUGUCAUGCCAAUGGCACUGCCCGGUAGCUAAAUGCGGAAGAGAUAAGUGCUGAAAGCAUCUAAGCACGAAACUUGCCCCGAGAUGAGUUCUCCCUGACUCCUUGAGAGUCCUGAAGGAACGUUGAAGACGACGACGUUGAUAGGCCGGGUGUGUAAGCGCAGCGAUGCGUUGAGCUAACCGGUACUAAUGAACCGUGAGGCUUAACCUU
rnacentral:rRNA from 1 species